GGCGUGUGAGAAAUAAGAGUCUCACAUGUAGUCCCAGCCACUCAGGAGUCUAAGGCUGGAAGAUUGCUUGAGUCCAGGAGUUCUGGACUGUAGUGCACUAGGUUGCUUUGGUGUCUGCAGUAAGUUCCAGCAUCAAUCUGGUGAGCUCCUGUGAGCAUGGAACCACCAGGUUGCCUAAGGAGGGUGAACCAUCCCAGGUUGGAACGGAGAAGGUCAAACUCCUGUGCUGAUCAGUAGUGGGAUCACACCUGUGAACAGCCACUGCACUCCAGCCUGGGCAAUAUAGUGAGACCCCUACCUC
rnacentral:SRP_RNA from 1 species